rnacentral:rRNA from 1 species
AUUGAACGCUGGCGGCAGGCUUAACACAUGCAAGUCGAACGAGUGGCGGACGGGUGAGUAAUGCUUGGGAAUCUAGCUUAUGGAGGGGGAUAACUACGGGAAAAUGUAGCUAAUAACGCGUACCAUAGGUUGAGCCCAAGUGGGAGUAGGUAGUUGGUGAGGUAAAGGCUCACCAAGCCUACGAUCUCUAGCUGGUCUUAGAGGAUGACCAGCAACACUGGUACUGAGACACGGCCCAGACUCCUACGGGAUGCAGCAGUGGUGAAGAUUGCGCAAUGGGGGCGACCUGACGCAGCCAUGCCGCGUGAAUUAAGAAGGCCUUCGGGUUGUAAAGUUCUUUCGGUAGCGAGGCGUUAACUACAGAAGAAGCACCGGCUAACUCCGUGCCAGCCGCCGCGGUAAUAC